rnacentral:rRNA from 1 species
AGAAAUGGCUCUGGUUAAUACCUGGGGUCGAUGACGGUACCGGAAGAAUAAGGACCGGCUAACUACGUGCCAGCAGCCGCGGUAAUACGUAGGGUCCAAGCGUUAAUCGGAAUUACUGGGCGUAAAGCGUGCGCAGGCGGUUGUGCAAGACCGAUGUGAAAUCCCCGAGCUUAACUUGGGAAUUGCAUUGGUGACUGCACGGCUAGAGUGUGUCAGAGGGGGGUAGAAUUCCACGUGUAGCAGUGAAAUGCGUAGAGAUGUGGAGGAAUACCGAUGGCGAAGGCAGCCCCCUGGGAUAACACUGACGCUCAUGCACGAAAGCGUGGGGAGCAAACAGGAUUAGAUACCCUGGUAGUCCACGCCCUAAACGAUGUCAACUAGUUGUUGGGGAUUCAUUUCCUUAGUAACGUAGCUAACGCGUGAAGUUGACCGCCUGGGGAGUACGGUCGCAAGAUUAAAACUCAAAUGAAUUGACGGA